UGCUGACAAACACAUUCUACCC
rnacentral:piRNA from 1 species